GACGAACGCUGGCGGCGUGCUUAACACAUGCAAGUCGAACGCUGAAGCUUGGUGCUUGCACUGGGUGGAUGAGUGGCGAACGGGUGAGUAAUACGUGAGUAACCUGCCCUUGACUCUGGGAUAAGCCUGGGAAACUGGGUCUAAUACUGGAUACGACAUGCCACUGCAUGGUGGUGUGUGGAAAGGGUUUUACUGGUUUUGGAUGGGCUCACGGCCUAUCAGCUUGUUGGUGGGGUAAUGGCCUACCAAGGCGACGACGGGUAGCCGGCCUGAGAGGGUGACCGGCCACACUGGGACUGAGACACGGCCCAGACUCCUACGGGAGGCAGCAGUGGGGAAUAUUGCACAAUGGGCGGAAGCCUGAUGCAGCGACGCCGCGUGAGGGAUGACGGCCUUCGGGUUGUAAACCUCUUUCAGCACGGAAGAAGCGAGAGUGACGGUACGUGCAGAAGGAGCGCCGGCUAACUACGUG
rnacentral:rRNA from 1 species